rnacentral:rRNA from 1 species
AUUGAACGCUGGCGGCAUGCCCUACACAUGCAAGUCGAACGGCAGCACGGAAGCAAUCCUGGUGGCGAGUGGCGAACGGGUGAGUAAAGUAUCGGAACGUGCCCAGUCGUGGGGGAUAACGUAGCGAAAGUUACGCUAAUACCGCAUACGAUCUAUGGAUGAAAGCGGGGGAUCGCAAGAACUCGCGCGAUUGGAGCGGCCGAUAUCAGAUUAGGUAGUUGGUGGGGUAAAGGCUCACCAAGCCGACGAUCUGUAGCUGGUCUGAGAGGACAACCAGCCACACUGGGACUGAGACACGGCCCAGACUCCUACGGGAGGCAGCAGUGGGGAAUUUUGGACAAUGGGCGAAAGCCUGAUCCAGCCAUGCCGCGUGCAGGAUGAAGGCCUUCGGGUUGUAAACUGCUUUUGUACGGAACGAAAAGGUUUGGGCUAAUAAGCUGAGCUCAUGACGGUACCGUAAGAAUAAGCACUGGCUAACUACGUGCCAGCAGCCGCAGUAA